rnacentral:rRNA from 1 species
AAUUUUGGACAAUGGGGGAAACCCUGAUCCAGCCAUCCCGCGUGUAUGAUGAAGGCUUUCGGGUUGUAAAGUACUUUUGGCAGAGAAGAAAAGGUAUCCCCUAAUACGGGAUAAUGCUGACGGUACCUGCAGAAUAAGCACCGGCUAACUACGUGCCAGCAGCCGCGGUAAUACGUAGGGUGCAAGCGGUAACCGGAAUUACUGGGCGUAAAGCGUGUGUAGGCGGUUCGUAAAGAACUAUGUGAAAUCCGAGGGCUCAACCUUGGAACUGCAUUUUUAACUUCCGAGCUAGAGUAUGUCAGAGGGGGGUAGAAUACCACGUGUAGCAGUGAAAUGCGUAGAUAUGUGGAGGAAUACCGAUGGCGAAGGCAGCCCCCUGGGAAAAUACUGACGCUCAGACACGAAAGCGUGGGGAGCAAACAGG